GUCUUGUGCUCGGUGUCAUCACUGCGAGCGCUUUUCAGAGACAAGACGACUGCUGCUGCUGCUGCUGCCGCUCUCCAGCUCAGCAAACUACCACCGGCAGGUGACAGGUUAGCAUUUACGCUCUUCUGCACGUUAUCUGCUCAGAGAUGGAGAAGCAAAUGCAAGAGCCGUGGCUGUCCCAGCGAUCAGGCCCCCCACUUAGUGUAUUUGACAAGCUGAGUUGGACACUCUGUAUCAGUGAGUGUCAGUUUGUCAAAUACCCCAAGUGAGGUGUCACUUGUCUACAGAGGUCACCACCCAGACAGAGCGGUCCAACGCGGCAUGGCAAAAGUGCAAAGAAUUGCUUCCCUGGUGAAACAUGAUGAGAAAGACAAAAUGUAUUGUAACCACUGUUUUUUUGCAAGUGCAGGUUGAUUUAGCAAGCAUGUGUCUUUUGACUUGUUUUUUGUUUUGGCAGUAAAUUUUCUCAUUGUAACCUUCCAGAAGAACCCACUGAUUUUUUUUUAUACAUGUCAAUAGCGAAAAAAGAGCAUAAAAUGAAGUCGCACGAUAAAUGACCAUGAGCAGUCAGAAAAAGUACUUCCUUUGCAAAAGGUAAUGCAAUGGAAGUAAUGUUAUUCAAAUAAGGCUUUCAUUACAAAAUGGUGAUGUGUUUUUAUUAUAUUUUUCUGGUUUGGUUUUAGUUUGCAAAAACAUGUUACCAGGGCUUUCUUCUGCUCCAUGAUUGGAUUAUGUGCCUGCAGCACAAGCAACUUUCAGGGAGAAGUGAACCACCCAGUGCCUCCCUGAGCCACAUGGUACUUUGCUGAUCUUCUUCAUUUCUAUGUGUCACAUUUCUGUAAUAAACGUGAAUGCUUGGUGAAAUGAAGCAAAUUCUGCAUACUCCAGCUAAUCUUCCAGUUUUAUGGGUUUUUACAGACAAAUCUUAUCGGACUGUCUUGCGUUUCCUUAAAGAACUCUUUGACGUCCACUAAUGCGGCCGCAGUAAUUGCUUUGCUAUCUGAGCUUUUUUUUUCUGCAAACCCAGCAUUGCACCAAGUGAAGGUGUAUUGUAAUUUUAGUUUUGGGAAGUGGCCAAAUUGCAUCAUGUCAACAGGAACCAACUGCCACUGCAUUACCACAUUAGUACCUAUUAUGAAUGUAAAGUCAAAUGUAGCACACAUUAGCUGCAACAAUAAAAGCCAUUUGCACUGCAACAGGAA